rnacentral:rRNA from 1 species
AAUGAACGCUGGCGGCAGGCCUAACACAUGCAAGUCGAGCGGACGAAGGGAGCUUGUUCCUGGAUUCAGCGGCGGACGGGCGAGUAAUGCCCAGGAAGCUGCCUGGUAGUGGGGGAUAACGUCCGGAAACGGGCGCUAAUACCGCAUACGGCCUGCGGGAGAACGUGGGGGAUCUUCGGACCUCACGCUAUCAGAUGAGCCUAGGUCGGAUUAGCUAGUUGGUGGGGUUACGGCCUACCAAGGCGACGAUCCGUAACUGGUCUGAGAGGAUGAUCAGUCACACUAGAACUGAGACACGGUCCAGACUCCUACGGGAGGCAGCAGUGGGGAAUCUUGGCCCAUGGGCGAAAGCCUGAUCCAGCCAUGCCGCGUGUGUGAAGAAGGUCUUCGGAUUGUAAAGCACUUUAAGGUGGGAGGAAGGGCAGUAAGUUAAUACCUGGCUGUUUUGACGUUACCAACAGAAUAAGCACCGGCUAACUUCGUG